CAGUAGGUAGUUUAUGAAAAUAUUAAUUUUGGGGAUUAAUGAUGAGGUUUAAUUUCUCCUUA
rnacentral:tRNA from 1 species